rnacentral:rRNA from 1 species
GACGAACGCUGGCGGCGUGCUUAACACAUGCAAGUCGAACGGAAAGGCCCUGCUUUUGUGGGGUGCUCGAGUGGCGAACGGGUGAGUAACACGUGAGUAACCUGCCCUUGACUUUGGGAUAACUUCAGGAAACUGGGGCUAAUACCGGAUAGGAGCUCCUGCUGCAUGGUGUGGGUUGGAAAGUUUCGGCGGUUGGGGAUGGACUCGCGGCUUAUCAGCUUGUUGGUGGGGUAGCGGCUUACCAAGGCUUUGACGGGUAGCCGGCCUGAGAGGGUGACCGGCCACAUUGGGACUGAGAUACGGCCCAUACUCCUACGGGAGGCAGCAGUGGGGAAUAUUGCACAAUGGGCGGAAGCCUGAUGCAGCAACGCCGCGUGCGGGAUGACGGCCUUCGGGUUGUAAACCGCUUUCGCCUGUGACGAAGCGUGAGUGACGGUAAUGGGUAAAGAAGCACCGGCUAACUACGUG